rnacentral:tRNA from 1 species
CGGGGUGUAGCGCAGUUGGCUAGCGCACCGCGUUUGGGACGCGGGGGUCGAAGGUUCGAGUCCUUUCACCCCGACCA